rnacentral:piRNA from 1 species
AUCUGUUAUUAACACGAGUUUUGGUC